UCCCUCCCCCGGCCCGCGCCCUCCGCCACCGCCUUUCGCUUCCCUCCGCGGCCCCUUCCGCGGCUCCCCGCUCCUCAGCGGGAGCCGGGGGCGCAGGCCGAGCCCGCUGGGUGCGGGGGCACCAGCGGGCUCGGGGAGCCCUCGAAAAGCAGCACCGCGGCCCGUGGGCUCCGGUACCGGUGAGAAGGCUCAGCUGGCUGCCGCGCAGGCAAGGCCGCCCGCAGCCCCUUCGUGAGCAGUGUUCGGUGUUGCCAAGCCCCUCUCCCCCAGCUGCUUAAAAACCAGUUACAAGCCACAGCUAAGGACUGCGCACAGCCGCAGAGCGCUGCCGCUGCCUUGCAAGUGCUCCGGCAUCAGCGUUUCUGCGUCGGUCUUUCUCCCACCCCACAGCACAGACCAUGCUAAGAAGCAGUUUUCAAAGUGAAAAAUAAAGGGAGCCGCUUCUGCAGCCUUUUACAGCUGCAUCACUGUGGAUCCAGAGGUCAGUUACCAUUUAAAGGCCUUUCUUCUUGACCUCUGGGCAGGCGGAGGCUGUGGCAGGGAAGCUGCUGUGAUAGAGCCUGGAGCCUUGGAGGGCUUGCCGGGGAAGCGAUGCUCUUGGUCUUUUGCCAGGACUGACUGGCACUGAAGGCAGCUCGACCUGUCUAAACACCAAGGUUUCUAACCACUGGGCUAAUCAAGGAUCUUCCUUUGCUGACUCAGGUGCUGGCCACCUUUGCUGGCCACCUUUGCUGGCUCAGGUGCUGUAGGAAAGAGGAUGCAUCUCUGGGGAAGACAGAGUGAGCUGUCACAAGACACAAGAUGUUGCACAGUGGUACAAAUGGUGUUGGUCCCAAAGCAUGUAAAGCCACCAUCCAUCAUCCCUAAACCAUAAUUGAACUGUCUUCCCCCAAGUAUCAUAUGGAAGAGUAUCUGCAAAGAAGACAAAUGAGGACACCAGAGAUCGCUGGGUCCAGAAAUCUCACUGAUAACUCUUCUAUGUGUGUGGAAUAACAUUUAUUGUCAUACACACAGAUGAAUCUCUUAUUUCCAGUGCAGUCUGCAGGUGUCCUUUGCAUUGAUUCCUGAACUGCUACAUGAAGAGGGCAAACUAUGGGCACAUAAGAGCCAUUCAGAUCUCCAGCACAGUUGGAGAGCAUACUGGUCUUCUGUGUUUUUCAGACACUCUAUAUGUUCGUGGUUGCAAUAACUCUGCAGGCACAAGCACGGAAACCUCACCCAGCUGUGCUCAUGUUGGCACUGUCUGGGACACAAAAGGGAGGAACAGACAUCAUGGGAAGUGUGUCAACUAAAUGUGUUGACAGAUUGAAAACACUUCCCCAUGAAGACCUGGAAGGAAGAAGGGAGUUUGUCACAGUAUGCCAUCAAACAGUUCCCAGAGCAGCUCAAGUUAAUGAAAUGCUAAGAACCUGGGUAUGAUUCUCCAGACGUUCUAGUGCCAAAUCCAUGUAAAUAGUAGUGCCAGUGGGGAUUUGGCUUUAUAGACAUAGAUGAUUGUCAUUACUGCAGUGCGGAUGCUCAUGGACUGGCUUAGCAAGUACAAGGUGCAUAAAUAUCAGGACAGUGGAUGCAUCUGAGAGAUCUGGUCUGUAUUUACUGUAUAAAUAGUGACAUACAAUGAUAUACACUGUGCUUUAAAUAUCUUUGAAGUCACAGUGGCAUGCUCAUCAGAAAUGGCAGGCAGAAAGGGAAUUCAUUUUCAUCCAGUAAUUUGAUCAAUUUUUUUUUCCUUAGCUCUACAGUAAACCCAAAUAAUUAAACCUUAGUGGAGACUACACUGUAAAACUUUUGUUUUAAAUUGUAUUGAAUUAUUUCUUCUAUAAAUGUUUUACAAGAUCAUUGGCUAGGUAGUGAAUGUAUUUAGAGUCCUAAUUACCGUUAUAUGUGAAACUCUGUGUUUUGCCAGCGCAAGUUAAAGCUGCCCAUUGUGCAUAUGCACUAAGGUAGUGUCUUACUACUAGAUCCUGAGAUGCGUUUCCCCACAGGACCUCAGUCUGACUCAGUUCACAGGAUGAUGGAUGCACAAUAAAUAAGGCAGCUGUUCCAGGUUGGUAUUUAUCUGUCUUAGUCUGUGUGUGGCUAUAACCUUUAUUUACUCCAUUUAAAUCUGUAGGGGUUUAUUGAUUUCCUUGUGGGGAAAUUGCAUUCAUCACUAGAGUGAGCAUUUUACAAAUAUUCCUGAAUUUUCCUCACAGCUCCCUGGAAGACCAGAAGGUAUUAUUACUUCCAUUUACAAAUAAAAAAUUGAAGCAAGGAAGAAUAAACAGCAUAAUGUGAAAUAGUGUUUGCUAGUGAUUCAGAAACUACAUGCACAGUUUGAAAGAUCUAACAUUUGUUUUAAUGAGUAUCAUUGUUACAGUGCUAGAUAUAUUCUGUGCAUAGUAUGUACAUCUUGCAAAUGUGUAGUGAGGUAGGGUAGAUAUGUAAAUAUUAUUGUGGGAACUUUCCUGAAAGGCAUCUCAUGGAUAAUUGAGUCUAGACCCUUGUUAUUGCCAGCAUGCCAUAUAAUCUUAUUCAUAAAAUGAUUGAGAUUUAUCUUAAAGUAAUUAGGUGUUUUACUCAUAUUAUGCUAUUAGAAAACUGUUCCAGAAUAUGGUUGCUGUGAGGGCUAAGAAUUGUCUUCUAGCUUUCAAACAAAACCUCAUACCCAUUUCCUCUUAUGCCAGCAGCGACCACUGGUUUAAUGGUUUAAAUAAUUCUUUUCCUUCCUGGCGUUUAUCCCUCCACCUUUGUUUUGCUAAAGUAAACAAGAUAAGAACAAAUUAUGCCAAAAUAAGUGAAGGCUUAAAUGAAUUCUGAAUGAAGUGUCUACCCAAAGGUGUAACGCAGUUUAACAAAUCCAUUCAGGCCUUAGUUAAUAUUAGCUUAAUUGGCAUGACUUAGCUUGUACAGAAAAGUUUUAAACUGGCUGCAGUUUUCACUUUUGUUGUCCUCACACUUUGUUUGUGGUUUAUUCUAUUAUGUUUAGCAAGUUGCAGAAUGCCAGAAAUCAGGAAACUUGAGUUAUAUCCCUGUUCUGGAGGUCAGUGUGAUAUAGCAGUUGUUAUCACUGAUGUAGCAUUUACUGAGAUAGCACUUACUGUGGUUUGGCCAUCAUGCAUGUUGGGAACUUCCAUCCUGAAAAGCCACUAAAAUGAUGAGACUUUUUUCUUUUUAGGGGCUUGGGUUCUGCUCCCAGUUCUGUAGGAAGUAACUAUAGGCUGGAAUUUAGCAGGGAAUCUGAAAGUCUUUCAUUUUCAAGGGGCUCUGAAGUACCAGGACAGGCAGAAAGGCAUUUUAAAUGAGAUAUCUCCCUGCAGCUCCUAAUGCAACAGGAGUCAAAAGAGAACAUAUGUCACUACAUACCCUUUAUCUUGGAGUUAGUGCUUUUUACAAUACAGAAGCUGAGUUAGUAAUCUAUCAUGAUAAUCCAAUUUCUAACAGUCCAGGUUCACCACUGUGCUGGAUUAACGCGGGCCCAUUGAAUAAGGAGACACAACAGUGUAGGUAUAGGGGAAUACACCAUCUAAUGUUGCUACUUUGGGGCUGAUGGGAAAGUGUAGGGUUGGAAAGUAGUACUAGCUGUGUGGAAUUAAAUGUAGGUGGCUUUGGUGCACUUGGAUAGAUUGCUGUAUCCCUUCUUUUUAUAUGUACUGGGGUGUGGCAAUUUCCCAUGGCUAAUCUUCAGCCUUAUCUUAUCUACAGCUGUAAGCUUGUUAUUAGCUUUGUUAUUGUGCAUUGGAACACCUUUGAUACGCAAACUGAGAGUAAUUAUGUGUCUUCCUUUUCAUUGUAUGCAUAGGCUAUAUACUCUUGUAAGUUAUUUGACUUGCUGAUUUUAUCUGGGCCAUGGAAUAACCUUAAUUCUCCAUCAGUCACUACAGGGCCAACAUAAAGCACAAGCAUGGGUUUAGCUAACUUGGCAAAAAUACUACCACAUGCUCAUGCCUAAUCCAUAAUACUUGGGUAGCCCAGUGAGUCACAGAUCUGCGAUUAAUUAAUGAAAAGCCAUGGCUUUACUAAAGACAAGAAAGGUUUGUGCUUUCACAGACAUUAGUAGGUCAUGUUCAGCUUGGAAGGAAGCUCACUUUUAAUAAGUAGUAUACGUGGCAAUAUUAGAACAACUUCUCUUUCCUAGGAUUUUAUGUCAUAUAGUGCAUUGUAGUUAACAUAUGGAAAAAACAUAUCCUGCAUUCUAGUGAACAAUUUAUAUUUUCUGCUUAUUUUCCUCCUACAGAUAGGGGAACUAGUUAAGGAAAAUUAGUACAAUUAAGAUGAUUUAAAUUUUCUCUUUUGAGUCACUCAAGAUUUUUCGUGAAAUACUCUCCAAACUGUGAAAGCAGAACUUCUUACUACAUUAAAGUGUGGCUCUUUAUGGUAGCUUGUAGAAGAAAGAGUAGACCAUAUCUUCACUGUCCAGCAGGAGAAAUUACCUGGUGAGCUCUUCCUUCAAACUACUCUGUCAAAGAAUACAAUGGAGCUUAAGUGAUUUCCAACUUCUGAAUUCCCUGCACAAUAACUCUAAAACCCAGCAAAUCUAAUCUCAGUUGUUUCACUGAAAAUCAAGAGCAUGUCUUCUGGUACAAUAGCAUUAAACCAGUGUAAAUCUGGUGUGAGUAAAAUAUUGGUUGAAGCAAACGUCACCUACAUAACGAGAUUUAUUUUUUCACUACAGAGACCCUAUUUAUAAAUACAUGCUUUUUCGUACUUUAUGAAAGUCUUGUCCUUGUCCUUGUGCAUGAGCCAGAGGUAUUUUGCACUUUUUAGCUGAUUAGUAAUGCUUUUAGGUAAAUCAAGAACAUUUUUUUGUAACUAGAAAGAGAGAUGAUACAUAGGCAAGCUGAGAUACAAUGGUUUUAUUGGCAUGACUCUCUUCAUCAUAAAUGAUUAAACCAUGGGAAAAUUACCUCUGCUGUUGAAAAAAAGAAUGCAGUGUGUCUCUCUUGUUUUUGUAUCUCUGACAGUAGAGGCUAACAGCUAGGCUUUUUAACUCUCAUGCUGAAGAAAAAAGGGGAAUUGCAGUAAUAUAAUUCAAAGCUCAACUUGUCACAGGACUCUGGGUCAUGCAGGUCAUAACAAAAACUGCAGCACCAGUGCUCUAGUUAGCACAGUUUGAAAAGUUGCUAACUAAAAGGAAAUUGUCUCUUAACAAAUUUUAAUGACUGUUUGCCAAAAGCUACUUCUCUAAUUAGUACUAUUUACUAGACUUGUGAGAGGAUGUCAAUGCCCUUUCAAAUAAUUUUUUUUCUGGCCUUUUUUUCCUCUAAAAUAUAUUUUUCUGUAUUAUCAAUGAACAUUACAUGUGCCCUGCUGGAUGUCAUAUUGCCAUGUGUUUCCUAAAAAAAAAAAAAAAAAAGAAUUUCUACCAUUCUGGACACAUACCUGGCUUGCUGCCAGGUCAUACUUUUCCCAAAACACAGAGGAACUGCUGGUUCUUGUCAGAUAUCAAUUAAAGUUAAUAAAUAUGAUGAUGUAAAGCCACAAGCUUAAUGGAUUCCUACAACACCUGUAGGAACAGUCAGAUAUUACUAUCUUAAUUUUGCAGGUGGCGAAACUCAGAUGUACAAAGAUAAGUGGGUUGUCCAUGGCUAGGAAACAAUAUAGUGGCAGAGCUGAAGUUUUUUCUUUAUCUUAGUUCUAUGCUAAAUAUGUUAGUCACACAGACUGUCUUAGAAUAAAAUAAAAAGGGAACAGAUGUUGAAUAUCCCUCAAGAAAACAGUUAUAUGUGUAAAGUGUACUAACUGAUUCCACUUUCCUGAGGUUUAGUACAGGCGUGGGUACCCAGGAUUUUUGUUUGAUAGGAGUCUAGGAAUUUCUUCAGUGAAAUGUAUUCAGUUGUUAUUUCCCAUAGAAGAAGAAAGAGCAAAAGUAGGAGUCAGACAUGGAAGUGUGUCCCCUCAGAUAUUAUUUGGAUACUCCAAAGAAUUCUCCAGCCAGCAUGCUGUGCUGCCAAACUGGACACAGACUGACAAGCCUGAGGAAGCCUUAAAUCUGUCGGUCAUUUGUCUUGGGAGCAAGCUGGCAGUAUUUACACUGGAAGGGAUUUACUGGUAAAAGAGCACUGUGAUGAUGUACUGGCAAAAACACUCUUAGCAUGGAUGUAGCUAUAUCUACAAACUGUGCUUUUACUUAGCCUGGUAAAAUUACCCUCUAUUUCAUUAACUUAAAAUAUUAUGUGAUAAAAAUAGAACAUAUAGUAGCUAUCGUAGUAGCUCUCAAAUCUGAGGUAUAUAAUAAAUAUAGUCCAUGAAUUCCUUGAAAGAUGAUGUGAGAUGUACCUAGUGCUGUGUUUAUUAUUUUAGGAAUACUUUCCCUCUGCUGCUAUUAUGAAGCGUUGGUGCAACUCGUUAUGCAGCAUAUUCCAGUGUCUACUAAUUGCUGUUUGCUAAUAGUACUAAGAGUCAUCACAAUCUACCUACAGGGCAUUUUCUUUUAUCUUAUGUCCAAAGAAACCAUUUUGAAAAGCACCAACACAUUGUUAACAUUCAUUAUUAACAUUAAAACUUUAGGAUUAGGCUUGGAGAAGGAGAGGAAGAUUUGGCUUAUGUAUUUACUGCUUCUGUCCUAAAAGUGAUUGUUAAUUUUCGGUUGUUGUUGUCGUCACUUUGCAUUCCAGCCAUCACAGUCAUUAGACCUGCACCGUGGCGAGCAAAAUUCGAGUCCUGACACGUACCUGUUAUUCUGUUCACUUAGAACUCUUAUAUAGGGAAAGAGGGAUGUAGAAUGAUAAAAAUGGAAACAGUAGAUUUUUCCUUAUAAGAUGGUGACCAGUGGGGCUUGUGAGCAUCCGGCCCCAGUUACUCACUCUGGUUUGUCUUGAGUUGUGAGCUUUCAGCACUGUCAAAGUGCUAAAUCAUAGCAAGCAAUACAAGGACAGUCUGUCUGCUCCAACAGACAGUCCUUACUGUAUAUGUAUACAAAGGCACAAAAUUAAGUGGCGAUGUGCAUUCCCCAUUAACAAGAUCUCACCAGCAGUGGUCAGGUGUGCCAAGACUCUGGAGGCAGAAUACUCCAGGGCACCCAGCAGAAGCAGCUCUUUUAAGUUCAGGUGUUUCCAAGUCCAAAGCACUCAUGGGGUCUUUGCUCUGGUCAUAUUUUACAAUAUUUUUUGGUUCUUUGAUGCUGGUAGUGCCACCACUUACCUCAGGGGUUGCUUUUCCUGUUUCAGCUCCACCAUUCAUUUUUAAAAAAUGUUUCCAAGGACAUUUUUCUCAGCUUUCUUUAUGUCCUUCAGUUUUGCCUAAGGAGACUUGCAUCACAUAAUGGCAGCUGCUCUUAAGUGGCUUCUUUUAAGGCAUGGCACAGUUUAGUUAGUGCUUUAUGUCAUCUGCUAUGUUAGUUACAGGUUUAUGGCUCAAGCCAUCUGUGGGCUCCCCAGCCUACAGUAGGUUGCUUUUCUGGUCUAAGCUACUCCUCCUCCUCCUCUGUCCCACAGAAUACUGUGUGUCAAACCAGCUGCUGGCCCUUGCACUGCCUCAGCAGGGCAGGUAUCAAGAUGAACCCAGUAUGGAUAUUUAAAAAUCUCAUGAUGUUAACUCUCUUGAUUUAGAAAAGUAUCUGCAAGACUUUUCCCAUCUGGUACUUUGAAGUGCACUCAGAGAGUAUCCUGCAAUAGCAGUUCCUCUCUGAAAAUCUUGUAAUGCAGCAGAGCUGUUUUGAAUGACCUGUUUAGAAAGUUCUUGUCUGUAAAAGGUGACACGGAGUUCAGUAUAUAAAUUGUGUGUCUCUAAGAUGAUGUUGAACAACAAAAGUGUCCCUCACAGCUAUUGCUAGCUCUUAAGUGCAAUCUAUUGAAAGGAUUGAAGAACUGCUACAGAAAACAAGAGGAUUUUGAAAUUCCAGAGUGAGAACUGAAAACAACAGUUAAGAAAUCCCCUCUUGUUACAUCACUCUACUGGAAAAAGUUAGACAAUAUAGAGAUAAGUAUAGAGAUAAGAACAUGGGCUGUGUCCUUGAAUAAUACAGAGCCCUUGUACCCAUGAGAUAGGUUGUAUAACCAUAGAUUUGACAGAGGGAGGUAUACCUACCUCCUUCCUGAUAGGAUGCAGUUUUGAAGAGGUAUGUGUGACUAAUGAAUCCUCAAGAGUCAAAGCUUUCGGAAAGCAUACCGUGAUAAUUUCAAUGAAGAAUAAAAAUUGUGAUUUUGUCAAAUAAAGGGGAUUUAGGAAAAAAAUGAAAUGAUGGCAUGAAUAGCCAAGAAGACCAAGAAACUGAAGGCAAGAUAUAACUGUUUACCUGUGUUCAUGAAAAGCCCUCUGCCAUCUUGGCAGUCUGUCCUUCAUUAUUAAGGGCUCUAAUGGAUUGAUUUGUAAAGAGGACUAUACAAUUCAUUGCUAUUGCCGGAUGUUUUAUAGAUAGACCAAGAGCAACAGGCAUCAGAACAUGGUCAAAGGCCAAAAAAAAUGCACUGUGGCCAUAAAAACAGAAACAGUGCACACAGCAAAGCGGGACAGGUCCAUAGCAGCAAGAUUUUCUUUUCCCCUGGAAAUAAUUGAAUGUUUUCUGAAAGAACAGUAAAAAAUUACAUGGGUCUUAUAUAGCACUUUACAUCUGUAGGUUGCAAAGUAUUUGUAUUUGUUCCUGCCAGUAUCUGUGUCCUUUCACAGAAACUGAGGCAGAGGGAAGCGAGUCACUUGACUCACUGAAAGUCAAAACCAUAUUAAUGAUAUAGGCUGGACGCAAACCCAGGACUUUCACAUCUCAGUACAACAUAUACACACUAGGCUAUGGUGUCUCUUACCUUCUUGUAAUGAUUAUAUCAAUUCUACUCUAUAAUCAUUCAGUGCAUUUGAUUAUAUGUUUUCUGUCUACACACCAAGAAAGCUGUGAGCUGAUCAUAAAAAUUAAUAAUGUAUGCUUCUGAAACUGUAUUAUUUAUCUGGUAUGUGUGAUGUACACACUCUUUAUACAGAGUAGAUACAGGUGUGUGCCACAGAUUAGGGUUCAGAACUGGGAGGGAAACCCCAAAUUUUUCAUGGUUUUAUGUGCUAAAAUGUUAGAAGUGAAAUUAUGUAAGAAGCUGAUUUCUUAUUCAGGAGAGAAAUGAUGUGACUAUCAUCUCAGGAGUAUAAGUCAUCCCCAGAGUAUAUUUGACUGAAUGCUAAAUACAAUAAGCCUGCAGACAUUUCAGCUGUUGAAAAAUAAAGAUAACACUGUAGAUGAUAGACUGUAAAGAACAAAUAGCUAAUAAAGAAUGUUCUGCA